rnacentral:rRNA from 12 species
GCUUAUGGCCAUACCACCCUGAGCGCGCCCAAUCUCAUCUGAUCUCUGAAGCUAAGCAGGAUCGGGCCUGGUUAGUACUUGGAUGGGAGACCACCUGGGAAUACCAGGUGCUGUAAGCU